CCUACGGGGGGCUGCAGUGGGGAAUAUUGGACAAUGGGGGCAACCCUGAUCCAGCCAUGCCGCGUGUGUGAAGAAGGCCCUCGGGUUGUAAAGCACUUUCAGUGAGGAAGAACGCCUGGUGGUUAAUACCCAUCAGGAAAGACAUCACUCACAGAAGAAGCACCGGCUAACUCCGUGCCAGCAGCCGCGGUAAUACGGAGGGUGCGAGCGUUAAUCGGAAUUACUGGGCGUAAAGCGCGCGUAGGUGGCUUGAUAAGCCGGUUGUGAAAGCCCCGGGCUCAACCUGGGAACGGCAUCCGGAACUGUCAAGCUAGAGUGCAGGAGAGGAAAGUAGAAUUCCCGGUGUAGCGGUGAAAUGCGUAGAGAUCGGGAGGAAUACCAGUGGCGAAGGCGGCCUUCUGGACUGACACUGACGCUGAGGUGCGAAAGCGUGGGUAGCAAACAGGAUUAGAUACCCGAGUAGUC
rnacentral:rRNA from 1 species